rnacentral:rRNA from 1 species
GGCCGCGGGAAUUCGAUUCAGGCCUAACACAUGCAAGUCGAGCGGUAGAGAGAAGCUUGCUUCUCUUGAAAAAGGCGGACGGGUGAGUAAUGCCUAGGAAUCUGCCUGGUAGUGGGGGAUAACGUUCGGAAACGGACGCUAAUACCGCAUACGUCCUACGGGAGAAAGCAGGGGGCCUUCGGGCCUUGCGCUAUCAGAUGAGCCUAGGUCGGAUUAGGUAGUUGGUGAGGUAAUGGCUCACCAAGGCUACGAUCCGUAACUGGUCUGAGAGGAUGAUCAGUCACACUGGAACUGGGGCACGGUCCAGACUCCUACGGGAGGCAGCAGUGGGGAAUAUUGGACAAUGG